GGAGGCAUAGCUCAGCUGGUUAGAGCGCUCGCUUCACAUGCGAGAGGUCGUAGGUUCGAGUCCUACUGUCUCUACCA
rnacentral:tRNA from 1 species